rnacentral:rRNA from 1 species
GAGAGAGAGACAUGCGCGCAUAUCAAUAAGCGGAGGAAAAGAAACUAACAAGGAUUCCCUCAGUAACGGCGAGUGAAGCGGGAAGAGCUCAAAUUUGAAAUCUUCAAGGUUCUACCUUGACGAAUUGUAGUUUAAAGAAGUGUUUUCUGUUGGAGUUUUGGUAAAAGUUCUUUGGAAUAGGACAUCAUAGAGGGUGAGAAUCCCGUAUUUGACCAUUAUUUCCAGCUUUGUGAUACACUUUCAAAGAGUCGGAUUGUUUGGGAAUGCAGUCCAAAAUGGGUGGUAAAUUUCAUCUAAAGCUAAAUAUUGGCGAGAGACCGAUAGCGAACAAGUACCGUGAGGGAAAGAUGAAAAGAACUUUGAAAAGAGAGUUAAACAGUACGUGAAAUUGUCAAAAGGGAAGCGUUUGACACCAGUGUUGUUUUCUCGAAAAUCAAUUAAAAAUGGCUCGAUUUUGUAUUGUUGAGACCUUAAAAGCUCACUGUACAUUUUUCGUGUCUUUUUUAAUGCACUUUUCGUUUAACAAGUCAACAUCAGUUUCUUUUGUUGUAAAAGGGUCAUUGGAAGGUGGCUUUCUUUUCGGAGAAAGUGUUUAUAGCCUUUGGCCUCUGCAAUCGGAAGAGACUGAGGUCUGCAGCGUAGACUCUUCGGGGUUAGAUACAUUUGUGCUAAGUUAUAGCUUUUUAUAGACAACUUGUUGACUAUAAUUAGUCUUGUAGCUUACUCGCUUAUGCUAUUUUACCUACGCUUAGGAUGUUGAAGAUGUAGCACAUCAU